CACUGGAGUUUGUUUCAACAUU
rnacentral:miRNA from 8 species